CCGGGGGUGAUAGCAUAUCAAUAAGCGGAGGAAAAGAAACCAACAGGGAUUGCCCCAGUAACGGCGAGUGAAGCGGCAACAGCUCAAAUUUGAAAUCUGGUCCCCAGGGCCCGAGUUGUAAUUUGCAGAGGAUGCUUUUGGUGAGGUGCCUUCCGAGUUCCCUGGAACGGGACGCCAUAGAGGGUGAGAGCCCCGUCUGGUUGGAUACCGAGCCUCUGUAAAGCUCCUUCGACGAGUCGAGUAGUUUGGGAAUGCUGCUCUAAAUGGGAGGUAUAUGUCUUCUAAAGCUAAAUAUUGGCCAGAGACCGAUAGCGCACAAGUAGAGUGAUCGAAAGAUGAAAAGCACUUUGAAAAGAGGGUUAAAUAGUACGUGAAAUUGUUGAAAGGGAAGCACUUAUGACCAGACUUGGCCCCGGUGAAUCAUCCAGCGGUUCCCGCUGGUGCACUUUGCCGGGGUUCAGGCCAGCAUCAGUUCGCUCCGGGGGAUAAAGGCUUUGGGAAUGUGGCUCCCUCGGGAGUGUUAUAGCCCAUUGCGUAAUACCUUGUGGCGGGCUGAGGUUCGCGCUUUAUGCAAGGAUGCUGGCAUAAUGGUCAUCAGUGACCCGUCUUGAAACACGGACCAAGGAGUCGUCUUCGUAUGCGAGUGUUCGGGUGUUAAACCCCUACGCGUAAUGAAAGUGAACGCAGGUGAGAGCCCUCCAGGGCGCAUCAUCGACCGAUCCUGAUGUUCUCGGAUGGAUUUGAGUAAGAGCAUACGGGGCCGGACCCGAAAGAAGGUGAACUAUGCCUGUAUAGGGUGAAGCCAGAGGAAACUCUGGUGGAGGCUCGCAGCGGUUCUGACGUGCAAAUCGAUCGUCAAAUAUGGGCAUGGGGGCGAAAGACUAAUCGAC
rnacentral:rRNA from 1 species